GGUUAGGGGGUUUUGCUGGAGGUCCCUGCAUAUUUGAGGUCUUCCAAAGGAGAGGAACCAAAGAGAUAAGGAGAGACAACUUGGAGGAGAAGCACAGCACCAGGCAGCCUACAGCCACGGGAGAGAGUAAGGAACCUGGCUCUGACACCUCCUGAUCCUGUUAAGGCUGGGGAUGCUCUCUGGGCCGACUGUGCUGCUGAUGGUUUGUUGGUUCCUGCCUGAAUGAAUGCUGCAACCUCGUGUUCAGGGUUGUACAAAGGAUGGAUGGAUACUUCUGCUGUAAAGAUUGAGUGCUGAGAGUCAGCGACUCACCCUCCAUUGCUUUCCCAUAAAGAGAGCUCAGGAGGAAAAUAGAGCUCAGCAGGGACCCCACACCAGUGGGGCUGAGGGCUGUGUGUUCCCAUUCCAUUCCAUCCUUACUGCCCCCCGAACACAACGGCACACAGCAGGAUUGCAGAGCAGAGGUUGCCUGCCAUGAGCCAACCCAAACGCCACCAUGAAGCAUUGAAUUUGGCUUUCCUCUCCUCAUUAGAGCUGAUUACACUAAUCAACAUGUUUGUUUGGGGUGGAUGUAUUUUGUUGUCCUUUUUUUCUAUUAUUUCUUUGGAACAUGAACAACUUGGCUGUUGCAAGAGAGGGAGUUCUCAAGGGGAACUACAGAGACCAUCCACCUCCUCCGGUAUGUGGGUGGGUGGAGCAGAGCCUUUUUGCAUGGCACCACUUCCUUGCACUACUUCAUUUGCAGAGUGCUCUGAAAAGGAUUAGCUCUCUCCUAGCGACUCAACCACAGCCUUCCAUGAAGUGGUUUGCUACAAUGCCUCAGUUUACCCCAAGGAACUGCAGGUUUUGCUCUCACCCCACUGUUAGAUUAGGUUCAUUUCUGCAAAGAAGAGAUGUAGGGAUGCUGGACAGUAAGGUAAUGCUGGCUGGGUUACCCAGGGCAGGAUGCACCGUGCUGCAGUGCGUAUCCCUGGGUGCAUGGUGCUGCCGAGCUGCUCAGGUUUUAGCCAAAGCUGCUGUAGCAGCGAGACACCACUGCUCACACACUUCAGUCCAUUAAACCUACAAUGGAUGAUCCCCGUGGAUUAAAUAAGACUGUGAUUGGGAAGUUCAUUUGAAAGCUUUCGCCGGUGUGAGCUCCGAACUGCCCCAGCCUGCUGCAC